CGGGCAGUAGCUCAGUGAUAGAGUUCCCGCUUCGUAUGGGGGAAGACCUGGGUUUAAUACCCGGCUGCUUUU
rnacentral:tRNA from 1 species